rnacentral:rRNA from 1 species
UCAAAACUUUCAACAACGGAUCUCUUGGUUCUGGCAUCGAUGAAGAACGCAGCGAAAUGCGAUAAGUAAUGUGAAUUGCAGAAUUCAGUGAAUCAUCGAAUCUUUGAACGCACAUUGCGCCCGCCAGUAUUCUGGCGGGCAUGCCUGUUCGAGCGUCAUUUCAACCC